UACGUAGGGGGCAAGCGUUGUCCGGAUUUACUGGGUGUAAAGGGCGCGUAGGCGGAUUUAUAAGUCAGUGGUGAAAUCCUGCAGCUUAACUGCAGAACUACCUCUGAUACUGAAAAUCUUGAGUUCGGAAGAGAGAAGCGGAAUUCCAGGUGUAGUAGUGAAAUACGUAGAUAUCUGGAAGAACACCAGUGGCGAAGGCGGCUUCUUGGUCCGUAACUGACGCUGAGGCGCGAAAGCGUGGGGAGCAAACAGG
rnacentral:rRNA from 1 species